AACAAGGCGUACCUGCGGACCUGCGGAAGGAUCAUUACAAGUGACCCCGGUCUAACCACCGGGAUGUUCAUAACCCUUUGUUGUCCGACUCUGUUGCCUCCGGGGCGACCCUGCCUUCGGGCGGGGGCUCCGGGUGGACACUUCAAACUCUUGCGUAACUUUGCAGUCUGAGUAAAUUUAAUUAAUAAAUUAAAACUUUUAACAACGGAUCU
rnacentral:misc_RNA from 1 species